rnacentral:tRNA from 1 species
GGGAGUUUGGUCUAGUGGUAUGAUUCUCGCUUUGGGUGCGAGAGGCCGCGGGUUCGAUUCCCGCAAUUCCCC